UUACGGCCACAUCACUUUAAACUACCGGUUCCCGUACGAUCACCGAACUUAAGCAACGUCGAGCUUGAUCAAUACCUAGAUGAGUGACCACUUGGAAAUAAGUGCUGUA